rnacentral:rRNA from 1 species
AGAGUUUGAUCCUGGCUCAGGAUGAACGCUAGCGACAGGCUUAACACAUGCAAGUCGAGGGGCAGCAUGAUAGGUAGCAAUACUUAUUGAUGGCGACCGGCGCACGGGUGAGUAACGCGUAUGCAACUUACCUAUCAGAGGGGGAUAGCCCGGCGAAAGUCGGAUUAAUACUCCAUAAAACAGGGGUCCCGCAUGGGACUAUUUGUUAAAGAUUCAUCGCUGAUAGAUAGGCAUGCGUUCCAUUAGGCAGUUGGCGGGGUAACGGCCCACCAAACCGACGAUGGAUAGGGGUUCUGAGAGGAAGGUCCCCCACAUUGGUACUGAGACACGGACCAAACUCCUACGGGAGGCAGCAGUGAGGAAUAUUGGUCAAUGGACGCAAGUCUGAACCAGCCAUGCCGCGUGCAGGAAGACGGCUCUAUGAGUUGUAAACUGCUUUUGUACUAGGGUAAACGCUUCUACGUGUAGGAGCCUGAAAGUAUAGUACGAAUAAGGAUCGGCUAACUCCGUGCCAGCAGCCGCGGUAAUACGGAGGAUCCAAGCGUUAUCCGGAUUUAUUGGGUUUAAAGGGUGCGUAGGCGGUUUGAUAAGUUAGAGGUGAAAUUUCGGGGCUCAACCCUGAACGUGCCUCUAAUACUGUUGAGCUAGAGAGUAGUUGCGGUAGGCGGAAUGUAUGGUGUAGCGGUGAAAUGCUUAGAGAUCAUACAGAACACCGAUUGCGAAGGCAGCUUACCAAACUAUAUCUGACGUUGAGGCACGAAAGCGUGGGGAGCAAACAGGAUUAGAUACCCUGGUAGUCCACGCAGUAAACGAUGAUAACUCGUUGUCGGCGAUACACAGUCGGUGACUAAGCGAAAGCGAUAAGUUAUCCACCUGGGGAGUACGUUCGCAAGAAUGAAACUCAAAGGAAUUGACGGGGGCCCGCACAAGCGGAGGAACAUGUG